rnacentral:rRNA from 1 species
UAAGGGAAUCUUCCACAAUGGGCGGAAAGCCUGAUGGAGCAACGCCGCGUGUGUGAUGAAGGGUUCCGGCUCGUAAAGCACUGUUGUAGGAGAAGAAUGACAUUGAGAGUAACUGUUCAAUGUGUGACGGUAUCUUACCAGAAAGGAACGGCUAAAUACGUACCAG